rnacentral:rRNA from 1 species
AGUGAACGCUGGCGGCAGGCCUAACACAUGCAAGUCGAGCGGCAGCGGGUCCUUCGGGAUGCCGGCGAGCGGCGGACGGGUGAGGAAUACAUCGGAAUCUGCCCUGUCGUGGGGGAUAACCUAGGGAAACUUAGGCUAAUACCGCAUACGACCUACGGGUGAAAGCGGGGGAUCGCAAGACCUCGCGCGACAGGAUGAGCCGAUGUCCGAUUAGCUAGUUGGCGGGGUAAAGGCCCACCAAGGCGACGAUCGGUAGCUGGUCUGAGAGGAUGAUCAGCCACACUGGGACUGAGACGCGGCCCAGACUCCUACGGGAGGCAGCAGUGGGGAAUAUUGGACAAUGGGCGCAAGCCUGAUCCAGCCAUGCCGCGUGGGUGAAGAAGGCCUUCGGGUUGUAAAGCCCUUUUGUCCGGGAAGAAAUCGUCUGGGCUAAUACCCCGGGCGGAUGACGGUACCGGAAGAAUAAGCACCGGCUAACUUCGUG